CAGUAUCAGCAUCACCCUGGGACUUGUUAGAAAUGUGGCCCCCACCCCAGACUCGGAGAUGUGGAGGGCCCCAGCAAGCCCUCCAGGUGAUUCUGGUGCACGCUAAAAAGCACGUUUGCUCAGGAAACAUUUUAAUUCAUAGUUGUGUGUGUGUCUAACAGCUCCUGAAGGGCAAGACUAGUAUGUCAUUUUAAAAAAUUCCAUAGUCCCUUGGAAGUGCCCGGAACAAGAGGAGAAUCAAAUAUGGGUGAGUACUAGAAGUCUAUCUUAGCCUUUCUGACUGCCAAAGAUAAUAUGGUGUAUUUUCCCCACAAAGAUACCCAUCCUGCUCCAUGGAAGAUGAUCCCAAAAUACCAUCUAGUCACUGCAUCCAACCCAAGGUUCAGGACAUCUCUACAGUGGGGACUAGGCAGCUCCUCUGUUAGACCUAAGUGGUGGCAGGCGCCUGUAAUCCCAGCUGCUUGGGAGGCUGAGGCAGGAAAAUUGCUUGAACCCGGGAGGCAGAGGUUGCAGUGAGCCGAGAUGGCACCACUAUACUCCAGCCUGGGGUGACAGAGUGAGACUGUCUCAAAAAAAAAAACAUAACAUGUAGAGCUGGGG
rnacentral:lncRNA from 1 species